rnacentral:rRNA from 1 species
UACGUAGGGUGCAAGCGUUAAUCGGAAUUACUGGGCGUAAAGCGUGCGCAGGCGGUUAUGUAAGACAGAUGUGAAAUGCCCGGCUUAACCUGGGAACUGCAUUUGUGACUGCAUGGCUAGAGUUUGGCAGAGGGGGGUAGAAUUCCACGUGUAGCAGUGAAAUGCGUAGAUAUGUGGAGGAACACCGAUGGCGAAGGCAGCCCCCUGGGUCAAGACUGUACGCUCAUGCACGAAAGCGUGGG